rnacentral:rRNA from 1 species
UACAGAGGGUGCGAGCGUUAAUCGGAAUUACUGGGCGUAAAGCGCACGUAGGCGGCUUGGUAUGUCGGGUGUGAAAUCCCCGGGCUCAACCUGGGAACUGCAUCCGAAACUGCCUUGCUCGAGUAUGGGAGAGGGAAGUGGAAUUUCAGGUGUAGUGGUGAAAUGCGUAGAUAUCUGAAGGAACACCAGUGGCGAAGGCGGCUUUCUGGCCUAUUCUUGACGCUGAGGCGCGAAAGCUAGGGGAGCGAACGGG